rnacentral:rRNA from 1 species
AUUGAACGCUGGCGGCAUGCUUUACACAUGCAAGUCGAACGGGGCUGGGGGGCAACUCCAGUCAGUGGCGAACGGGUGAGUAAUACAUCGGAACGUACCUCGUAGUGGGGGAUAACUCGGCGAAAGCCGUGCUAAUACCGCAUAUGCUCUACGGAGGAAAGCAGGGGACCGUAACAGGCCUUGUGCUAUGGGAGCGGCCGAUGUCCGAUUAGCUAGUUGGUGAGGUAAGGCUCACCAAGGCGACGAUCGGUAGCUGGUCUGAGAGGAUGAUCAGCCACACUGGGACUGAGACACGGCCCAGACUCCUACGGGAGGCAGCAGUGGGGAAUUUUGGACAAUGGGGGCAACCCUGAUCCAGCCAUGCCGCGUGCGGGAAGAAGGCC